rnacentral:rRNA from 1 species
AUUGAACGCUGGCGGCAGGCCUAACACAUGCAAGUCGAGCGAGCGGCGGACGGGUGAGUAAUGUCUGGGAAACUGCCUGAUGGAGGGGGAUAACGUCCGGAAACGGGCGCUAAUACCGCAUACUAUCAGAUGAGCCUAGGUCGGAUUAGCUAGUUGGUGGGGUAAAGGCCUACCAAGGCGACGAUCCGUAACUGGUCUGAGAGGAUGAUCAGUCACACUGGAACUGAGACACGGUCCAGACUCCUACGGGAGGCAGCAGUGGGGAAUAUUGGACAAUGGGCGAAAGCCUGAUGCAGCCAUGCCGCAUGUGUGAAGAAGGCCUUCGGGUUGUAAAGCACUUUCAGCGGGGAGGCGUUACCCGCAGAAGAAGCACCGGCUAACUCCGUGCCAGCAGCCGCGGUAAUUC